GUAGGUGGCAAGCGUUGUCCGGGAAUUUAUUGGGCGUUAAAGCGCGCGCAGGUGGGUUCUUUAAGUCUGAUGUGAAAGCCCCCGGGCUCAACCGGGGGAGGGUCAUUGGAAACUGGGGAACUUGAGUGCAGGAGAGGAAAGUGGAAUUCCACGUGUAGCGGUGAAAUGCGUAGAUAUGUGGAGGAACACCAGUGGCGAAGGCGACUUCCUGGCCUGUAACUGACACUGAGGCGCGAAAGCGUGGGGAGCAAACAGGAUUAGAUACCCUGGUAGUCCACGCCGUAAACGAUGAGUGCUAAGUGUUGGGGGGUUUCCGCCCCUCAGUGCUGCAGCUAACGCAUUAAGCACUCCGCCUGGGGAGUACGGUCGCAAGACUG
rnacentral:rRNA from 1 species